GGUCAGAAUUUGUGAAGGAGAGAUGUUCCACCUCAGAGAAUUCGGUGGAGAUGGAUGGCGCAUGUCCUAAGGAUCUUUGCAGCCAGUUCCCUGGAUGAUCACAAAGGAACUAAUUUUUACAAGAGUCGCGUGGUGAUUUGAUCUUCAGGUACAGAUAUGUAUGACACAUGAAUAAAAAUAAUUCAAGGUCUCCAAUGAAAAAGAGGGAUUAUUUUCCUUUUAUUUUUCUUAUUAUAGGGUUUCCACCAAGGCAUGCAAUUUCGAAUUUCUUUCCAAAAAUGUGGAUGAGAUGAUCUCACAACGUUGCAGAUGUCUGACGGCAAAAAUAAAGUCAGAAAGCUAUGAAGGGCAUUAAAUUUAAGUUAUUCCAAAAAUUGCAUGCAGUUUUCAGGCUCUUCUCUGAGCCACAUGACUCACUGGGGGACCAAGGGUCCUGGAGCGGCCAUAUCUGCUUUCAUGUCCAGCAAUGCAUUGGUCCAUAUAAGAUGACCCCCAUGAUCUCCAAUCUCUCCAAUCUCUGGGCUGAUUGAAGACUGUCCAAGCCUGGUGAGGAGCAAUGGCUCAGUGGGUGGGGGGUAAUCGGCAUGAAUCGCUGAGGGCGGAGUUGGAGGAGAUUGGGAGGAGCAUGAGGUCGUCUUUUAGGCUCCAGGCCCCAAGCUCUCGCCGGAGCUCAGGGGCCUUCUCGGCCAGGGACCAGGAUGAAGAGUAUGAACUGCAGUGGGCAGCAAUCGAGAGGCUGCCUACUUCAGACCGCCUAAAGUCAACGCUAUUCUGGCGUCCUGGAGAUGUGGGAGAGGAAGGGGAGAUAAAGAAAAGGGAAGUGGUCGAUGUUACCAAGCUCGGGGCCUUGGAGAAGCGCCUGUUCAUUGAGGGUCUGAUUAAACACAUUGAGGAUGACAAUCUACGGCUGUUGCAGAAGCAGAAGGAGAGAAUGGAUAGGUAACAGUUUCCUUUUUUUUUUUUUCUAAUCAUAUAUCUGUGAGUGAAUAGAUGGGGAAACAUGCCAAAUGUAUUAAAAAUUCACAUGGGGAGGAAUAUGCCAGAAUUCAUUAUGAGAAGUCUUCAAUCAAAUUAAUUCUGUCUGAGAAAUAGAAGAGCAAUGAGUGAGGCUGUAGCUUUCCAUGAAUAGUGUGAAAUUAAAGAAGCAUUUGCAGUGUCAAAUAUUAGGAAUAUAGUAGAGAAAAAUAAGCAAACAUAGUAUGAAAUCUUCCACGAUUUAUCUAGAAAACUCCAUCUAUGGGUCAAUUCUUUGUGAAAUAGCAUACAAAUGAGUGUAGCGUACUGUGAUCAUGAUCAAUCAUCAAUCUAAUUAGCUAAAAUCACUGAUUGUGAUUGUCAAUCGUCGUGAUCAAUGAUACAAUUGAUCAUGAUUGAGUGAUUGUCAUUUAAUAGUAUUAUAUUAUAUGGUCGGGUGUUUAGGUGAUCAUUAUCCUUUAAUAUUAUUAUAUUAAUGAUUGGGUGAUUGACUGACUAAAUAUUAUAUAUAAAUAUAUAAUACCUAUAUUAAAUAUGUAUUUAUAUAUUGGGCCUAAGUUUUUACUUUAUUAAGACAUAUAUUAUGCCUAAUAACUAUAUUAAGAUAUGUAUAAAUUAAGCUUCCUAAGAUACAUAUACAUAUAUUAGCCGUAAUUAUUAACUUUAUUAAUAUAUAUAUAUAUAUAUAUAUANNNNNNNNNNNNNNNNNNNNAUUAAUAUAUAUAUAUAUAUAUAUAUAAAUGAGAUUAAAUGAACUUUCUUUCCAACCUACUUAAAUAGAUCUCUAAAUGUGUUUAUGAACUUUGUUAAUGAGAGAGAGGUAGAGAGAUAGAGAGAGAGGGGUGAGAGAGAGAGAGAGAGAGGACAAAGGGAGGGAGAGGCAGUGGUAGUGAGGUUGGCAUCAGCUUAGUCAGUUUCAAAGAAGCCCUAAAGAGAGAAAGAGGGAGAGGGAGAGGGAGAGGGGGAGGAAGAGGUGGUUGUGGCAAAGCUAGUGGUGGCAAACCUGGCGGCAGUUAAGUCGGUCUCUUUGACAAGAAGAGGACAAAGGUGGUGAGAGAGAGUGAGAGUCGAGAGCAGGAGAGAGAGAAAUUAAAUCUCUCUUUCUCAUCGAUGUGAAUUGUAAUCGUUGGAUGAUGAAAAGUCAUCAUCCAACAGUUGAUAAAGUAUAGCCAUUGAUCCACCGAUUGAUCAAUGAUCGAUCAAGGACCUGGAUCGUGAUCGUGGUCAUUUUCCAUGAUCGUGAUUGUCGAUUGGUCAGAUCGACGAUCAUGAUUGCAGUACCCUAAAUGAGUGUGCUCAUAGUUCUGCAUGAAUCUUGUUGCCAAAUUGAUGAAUUAUUUUGUAAAACAAUGAAAGUAAGUAAAUUAGAUAAACAAAAGCAGCUGCAUGAUAAAUAUGCCAGAAUUCAAUUCAUCUAAGGGAACUCAAAUUUACUGGAAAUAGUAGAGUGAGGAGUGUGCCAAUAUUUUUCCUAUGAAUAUAGUUGAAGAAACAUGUUGCUGAAGAAUAACUAUAGAUUCAGUAGCUAAAAAUAUGCAAACAAGGUAUAAAAGUAUCUCAGAAUUCAUUGGCAGAAAUCUGCAUUCAAAACGCAUUGUUUCUGAGAAGCUUUAGAGUAAUGUGUGUGCUUGUAUUUUCCGAUGAACACCGUUUCUCUUCAUGACAAAGUGCAGAGUCAAUGUGAAAUUGCCCACCAUUGAGGUGAGAUAUGAGAAUCUGAUGGUAGAAGCAGAGUGUGAAGUGGUUCAAGGGAAGCCCCUGCCAACUUUGUGGAAUACCGCCAAGAGCUUCUUCUUGGUGAGUAGAAUCCCUCCAUCUAACGGUUUCCUUUCUUACACUUAACUAACAUUUCAGGUAAAUAUCUUGGAUAGCCACUUUUCCAGCUCUUCACAUGGUUCUUCACAUAAAUGACAGCUCCAUAGCCCGCUAUUUGCUUUAAUUAGUAUUAAAUGUAAAUGUGGUUUUCGGUUCUUCAAAUUUCAUUUAUUGUGAAGGUUUCCAUGGGACAGAACUUAGCCAGGUUGGCCUGCGUAAAGACUCGAGCAGAAAAGAUCACAAUUAUAAAAGACGCCAGCGGUAUCAUCAAACCUUCCAGGUAAGCACACCAGGAACACGAUUGUAUCUCCGUAAUGCAGAGACCAUUUUUAAUCUUCACAAUGAUAACACUUGCUUGUCUACCAUAUUACAUCCGGUUCUUCAAUGAUUCUCUGAAUGCUGCAUGUAAUAUGGGACUUCCACAAAAAUUCUCUCAAGUGACAUUGUUUUGGCUGCAGGAUGACUUUAUUACUCGGACCUCCAGGAUGUGGGAAAACCACCUUCUUACUGGCGCUUGCAGGGAAACUGGACCAGUCUCUGAAGGUUCAAUUUCUUCUAGUUUCCACAGAAAUAAAGAAAAUAAUAUUCAUAAUCAUAUAAAAUGAUUGUUUCAAAUGAUCCGUAAAGACUUGAUCUUUUGGUUCUAAAAUAUCCCAUUACUUUGGAAAUAACUGAGCACAUCCGGAUUUUAUCUUGGUUCACUGAUGCAAAACUUGGGCUUGUGUAGGUUGAUGAUACCAGCUUAUACAUCAUGGGGCCUAUUUUUGUCUAUAAGAAAACAUCUUCAUUCCUGAACUCCAUGGAAAUAAAGACAUCUAGAUGGGUCACUUCACAGUCUACUAACCUAUCAAAAUAAUGGAACUAGUUAUCACUUUUUGCCAGGCCCAAAUCCAGAUAUAACUGGGCCGAAGAUCCUUAAGGGCUUCUGCUUCACAGACAUUCAGAUGUCUCAUUAUCCCUUCUUUUUGGAGCAUAGGAUCAUCUCUGGCAUAGAAAAUGGAAGGAUGACCAACUAAGCUUACUAACAUGGGCACCCUUUGCGCCCAUAUGCAUGUGGUGGGGAGGAGAAUGGGGGAUACAUUUACGACCUAAUUGCUUGGUAAAGGUGACACAUUCUAAGCUACCCACCAACACACUAACCCGACAGUGGGCAUAUUCCAGUAAACUUUGUGACACUUGGCAUCAGUCUUGGUUGCUCAUCUGCAGCAUUGAUGAGUCUUCUAAUUGGCUGCUGCCAUCAUUGGAAACCUUCACAAUCAUACCCUCCAGUUUUGAAUGCUCACCAGCUUGGCAGUAAUUAGAUAAAUUAGCCUUCUGAGAAUCACAUCCAACCUAGAUGUAAAAUCGAGAAAUUACAUCUGAUAAUAAGAUCAAUACCUUGAGGUCUAACAGUAGAAGCCACGACCAGGUAGCUAGAAGAUAAAAUCAUCAUUGACUUCCCAAUUCAUUCUGUGCAUGAUCCCAAUGUGGCCACUGCAUCUCCAGCUUUAUCAGUCAUGGCCUCAUUCAAUAUGCUUGGUGGGAACCAUCUGUGCGAAAAAUUAGCCAAUACAAGAAGUUUCUUCAAUAUUUCUUGCAUUUCGAAUGCUUAAAAGAUUUUUUAACACAAUCUCCAGGUUUCCGGAAAUGUUUCUUACAAUGGUUUGAGACUAGACGAGUUUGUUCCUGGAAAGACAUCAGCUUAUAUCAGUCAAUAUGAUCUUCAUAUGCCUGAGAUGACUGUCAGGGAAACUCUGGACUUUUCAGCACGAUUUCAGGGCGUUGGAAGCAGAGCAGGUACAUACAUUGAUGAUGCUUGAACUUUCAACACUUUGACCAACCGCUAAAGCUAAAUGGUACUUUUUUGUGAAGAAAUGAUGAAGGAAGUUAGUAGAAGAGAGAGGGAGGCGGGCAUUAUUCCGGACUCUGAAAUAGACACCUACAUGAAGGUACCCGGAGACUUGAAAUUUUAUAAAUAUUCAUGGAUCAUUCAAUUGGAAUGAGUAUUUUUACCGUGCAAACCCUUAAAACGAUAUGAGAUGUUCAUAAUCGGAUAUGCUUCUUUGGUGAAUUUUCUGAGCAUAAAUACCUGAAAAAGGGCUUCCUGAAACAGGCAAUAUCUGUGGAGGGACUAGAAAGAAGCCUGCAAACAGACUAUAUUCUGAAGGUAAUGUUUUCUCAACGAAAAUGAGGUUACACUUCGAGCGACUGAGACUUUAAAUGCAGUAUAGUAUUUAGUGCACAUUCUAAGUUCAGGUGUCCAAACCUACAGAAGAGAAGACAUAUGACCACCCACUGUGUAUGAGUAAUAUGUUGAUGUCUUAAUGAAAAAAAUGACUCACCACUUGUCACAGCUCCAUCCCCAAAUAGUUCACCUUCAUGUCGAACAAUGCAAACAAUGCCAAUUCAUUCUUCCACAAUAAUUUUUUCAGUUUUCCAUUAAAAGGUUGUUCUCUGUGUCUAUGUCCCAUUACUUUGGCUGAUGACAACCCCCUCCUAGCCGCCCAAAAUAGAGUAAGGUGCAAGUUAGUGCGUUCAAAGUAAGCAGAUCUUUGACAGUGAAAUGGUAAGUAGUGGGCAACUGGUGGAAAACAUCUGGGCAUCCUCAUCAUCCUGAAGACUAGUAUCCUUUGAUCGAUGUACAUCUCACACAUGCUUAAUAUGAAUAAUACAUGAAAUGCGGCAGUUUACAGCAUUGUGGGUUUUUGAGAUUGAAUGACAUCGAUGAAGAGGGUAAAAGCAACGAGAAGGUGUCUAGGACACUGCUAAUGAAAGCAAGAAAUAGUUUUCCUAUCUUUCACAGAAUUCUGAAUUCCCAACCCAUUUUCAACAAUAUGUUGAUCAGGGCUGUGCCUUAAAACUGUUGAUCUUCAAGCUCCGUUUUUGUUAUUUUGAUGGAUCAUCAAUAUCCAUGACUGAAUGUAUUUGUACACCUUUCCCUAAAACAGAUCAUGGGCAUGGACAUAUGUGCAGAAACAAUUGUUGGUGAUUCCAUGAGAAGAGGAAUCUCAGGUGGACAAAAGAAAAGAUUGACAACAGGUAAAUGUUCCAUUUCUUCGUCAAUGCUUUUUUCGGUGAAGUUUUCCUGCCGCUGAAAAUCUGUUAACAGGCGUGAUUGUAAAUAAGCAUCUGCUCCAACUAUCUAUUUACUUUUUCAUGUUACUCCUACCAUUGGAUCUUUUAGGGGAGAUGAUCGUUGGUCCAACAAAAGCUCUUUUCAUGGAUGAAAUCUCAAAUGGUUUAGACAGUUCAACAACAUUUCAGAUAGUAAAAUGGCUUCAGCAAUUAGCUCAUAUUACAGAGGCUACUUUACUGGUUUCUCUUCUUCAGCCAGCACCAGAGACCUAUGAUCUAUUUGAUGACAUUAUAUUAAUGGCCGAAGGAAAGAUUGUCUAUCAUGGUCCCCGCGAUCAUAUUCUUGAGUUUUUUGAAGACUGCGGUUUUAGAUGCCCAGAGAGAAAAGGAGCAGCAGAUUUCCUCCAGGAGGUAAUAAAAAAUUUUUAAUUUUCAUGGGCGAUGUCUCUUCAUUGUCAGCCAACUAAUCAUAUUAUUUUCAGGUUCUAUCCAGAAAAGAUCAAGGACAGUACUGGUGCCGCACAGACAAACCCUACAGCUAUAUCUCUGUUGAUCACUUUUCUAAGAAGUUCAAAUCACACAAGCUAGGAAGAAGUUUACAAGACAAGGUUUCAGAAUCAUACAAGUAUCAGUUAGACAAGAAUGCUCUAUCUUUUAGUGCUUACUCCUUGCCUAGAUGGGAACUAUUCAAGGCAUGUCUUGCAAGAGAAUAUCUUCUCAUGAAACGGAAUUCAUUUGUGUAUAUAUUCAAAAUUACUCAGGUAACGAUUAAAAAAGCACAAAAACCAGGUCCAAAGUUAAAGCAGUCAUAGUGCCUUUGUAACUCAUAUUUGAAACCUCUCUUUCACUUGCAGCUUAUGAUCGUUGCAUUCAUUACAAUGACCCUUUUCCUACGUACUCGGAUGAGGGUUGAUGUGAUCGAUGCAAAUUACUACAUGGGGUCCCUGUUCUAUGCACUUACUUUGCUCAUGGUGAAUGGAUUUCCUGAAUUGGCCAUGACAGUUUCAAGGCUGCCAGUUUUCUUUAAACAAAGAGACUUCUACUUCUACCCUGCCUGGGCGUAUGCUAUUCCAGCAUCUGUCUUGAAGCUUCCUAUUUCACUGGCAGAAUCAUUCAUUUGGACAUGUAUAACCUACUAUGUUAUUGGUUACAGCCCUGACGUGCAAAGGUAGGAAAAAUACUUGAUAAACAUUGUACCCUGAGUAUUGUGGAUUGGUAAUAACUCUAUCCUAGUGGAUGGAUUUUUAGUCUCGUAACUUACUCCACUUGAUGAAUUUCUUAGGUUCUUCCGUCAAUUCCUCCUGCUUUUCACCGUUCAUCAAAUGUCACUGUCCUUAUUUCGUUUCAUCGCUGGAAUUUGUCAAACUGCUGUUGCUGGUAUAACAAAUGGUACCGUGACUUUCUUUGCAAUUUUUCUAUUCGGUGGUUUCAUCCUACCAAAAUGUAAGUCUAUGUCAAUAUUUUUUUUGCUCCGCCUCAAAAUAAAGCACAAAGAUGGACAUAACCUUGUUUUGUCCCUGCAGCCUCCUUACCAGAUUGGUUGAGUUGGGGAUUCUGGGUUUCACCGAUGACAUAUGGUGAAAUAGGCCUGAGCAUAAACGAAUUCCUUGCCCCAAGAUGGGAAAAGUUAAAUAAAGACUUCCUCUUGUAUUGUGAACCUGAAAUCAUCGAUAUUUUUCUACUUGGUUGAACAACUGACGCAAUUUAAUGUCAAUGUCCACAGAUGUCCCCAGCAAAUAUACCAAUAGGGCAACAAAUAUUAACAAGUCGGGGGCUGGACUACGAAAGUCACUUUUAUUGGAUAUCAGUGGGAGCAUUGAUCGGUUUUUCUAUACUAUUUAACGUUGGAUUUUCCUUGUCCUUGACAUUUUUAAAAUGUAUGAGUGGACCAUCUAUAAUGCCAUUGCGUUUCACGGCCUUGAAUUCAUAAUUCAUCCUCUUUUUCUUCUAUACUCUCUAAAAUAUGUUAUCAUUCAGCUCCUGGCAGGUCCCGUCCCAUUAUUUCUUGGGAGAAGCUAUCUGAAUUAAAAGCACGAGAAAAUCAAACUACUCCUGAAAAUCAGAAGGAUGAUGAAACUAUUGCUUCCCAGGAAGACACAAACGAGCCAAAAACAGCUGGUGAGUUUAGAAUGCUAUGUCUUCUCAAUGAAAUGAAAAAAAAAAUUAGAGAAUAGAAACAUUACAGACAGUACAGGAUAAACAUACUAACCCUCAGGAGUACCUUGGUUGACAUUGCAGAGAAGAUGGCUUUACCAUUUGUUCCCCUUACCAUGACAUUUCAGAACGUGCAAUAUUACGUUGACACUCCACAGGUAUCUAAAUGUUCAGCACAAACAGUAUGUCACAACACGAGACAAAAUAAUACAAACAAAUUUAUAACGUCGCGUCCUCACACAGGAAAUGAAGGAACAAGGUUGUACCGAGAAGAAACUUCAAUUGCUCCAUGAUAUUACAGGAGUGUUCCGACCAGGUGUCCUUACAGCACUGAUGGGCGUCAGUGGAGCUGGAAAAACAACCCUCAUGGAUGUUCUUUGUGGAAGGAAAUCUAGUGGUUUCAUUGAGGGAGACAUAAAGAUUGGAGGGUACCCUAAGGUCCAAGCAACAUUUGCUAGGGUAUCUGGUUACUGUGAGCAGACAGACAUACAUUCACCACAAAUUACUGUGGAAGAAUCCUUGAUGUAUUCAGCAUGGCUACGUCUUCCACAGGAAAUUGAUCCAAAAACAAGAGCAGUAAGUUAUUGAAAACAUGUGCAACUAUUACCUGUCCAUCCCAAACGUUUUGAAUCUCCUUUAAUUCAAACAAGUUACUUUGAACCGCAUUUGAUACUCUCAUAUUAAAGUGUAAUAUUACAUCGUGUUCAGGCAUUUGUAAACGAGGUCCUGGAAACCAUUGAACUCGACAAAAUUAAAGAUGCUUUGGUUGGCUUAGCUGGUGCCAAUGGUCUAUCCACUGAGCAGCGAAAACGAUUGACGAUUGCAGUGGAGCUUGUUUCCAAUCCCUCCAUAAUAUUCAUGGAUGAACCCACCUCAGGGUUGGAUGCCAGAGCAGCAGCAAUUGUCAUGCGCGCGGUGAAGAAUGUUUCUGCAACAGGAAGAACAGUGGUCUGCACGAUCCACCAGCCAAGCAUUGAUGUUUUUGAGGCGUUUGACGAGGUAUUAAUAUAAACGUGCUCCUAAUCUGGUAGUUUUGAAUCCAUGAUUCAAGAUAAAAAUGGUGGUAGUUAAUUUAAACGGUAGCCUAUCACAAGUAGCCUUUCCAUUUUUUUGAACGUCAGCUACUUAAAGUAUAUGGCCCUACUUCACCAGUUGUCAAUCAGUUUUGAGUCAGAUAACCCAAUACUUUAGAAUGGUACCAGACCUCCAUGCUCUAUCUCUCGAUGGUGGAUACCCUAUUUAUGUUGCCUACUUGCCCUGACAUUAAAGAACAUGGCAACAUGUGAGAGGACACGUUUCUGUAGUUCAACACUGCUGUAAACCACAAAGAUAUAUGGGCUUAUUCCACCCAUUGCAAACUCAAUGUUUAUAUGAAUUACAAACUUAUUUCCGGAAGGUGGUCCAUCUCAACGAAAUGUGCAUGUUAAAAGUUUGACCCGAAUGGCACCACCGUAAUUAGAAUAGAAAAGUACAAUUGAAAUGAAAAAAGAAUCUCAAAAACCAUACGUAGGUUCUCAUACUAGGUAGUGACAUGUGGUUCAUUCUUCAAGCCUAACUAAACAUAUGGUUCACUCUUCUUGCAGCUUAUCCUAAUGAAAAGAGGCGGGCGGCUGAUCUACACUGGACAAUUAGGACAACAUUCUAGAAAAGUGAUUGAAUACUUUGAAGUAAGUUCAACUCAGCCAUCCUCAAUUCUUUGCCUGCAUCAACAGUAACAUAGAGAGGCUGGGUAUCUUAGGCAUUUAUUUACUGACCAGUCUUUUAUGCUUAAGGUUUCAGUUACAUUGAUCACAAAUCUAGGAUUGUACCUUACCAAACGGUAAGAUGCUUUUCUAGGAUGAUCACAAGUAUAUGAUUGCCUUAUAUAAAAUAAUUUAAUUCCGAUGGAGACAUUAAUAAAAUCUAAAAUUGAAAACUAGGCGAUUUACUUUAACAUCCAGCUUCCUUGUUUACUUGCUUAUUAAUAUCACUGGAUUUUUAAAAUAAAAAGAUUUGUGUAUCGUUUGAUUACUAUAGAUUCAACUUCAACUGUCUGAAACGAGUGAUCUCAUGGAUUACUAUAGAUUUUCACGCAAUUUCUUUCUUAUUUCAUACAGCAUAUAUUGUCUUUCAAGCAGUGUUAAAUUUUUCGAAUGUUAUGUAUGGAACUUUGUCUUUGCCAUUAUCUGUUCGAAAUUCAUCUCACCUGGCAUCUCUAUCCUCAUGAUAUUUCAUACAACAGGGUAUUUCAGGUGUGCCAAAGAUUAAGGACAAUUACAACCCAGCAACAUGGAUGCUUGAAGUUACGUCACCAACUGUGGAGAUGAAACUUGGCAUAAACUUUUCACAGCUCUACAAAGAAUCGUCCAUAUACAAGUUAGAAGAAAUUUCCGUUCCAUAUACAAUUAAAUUAUUUCAUAUGUGCUUGAUAUGAUAAAAUCAAGUAAUUUAUCCAGUGACGUUCAUGCCAAUGGCAAUAAACCAUGAGUCAAAAAUCCUCUAGUUCAAGCUAUCAAAAUUUGGCUUGCUUACACUAGCUAUAACAUAAAAGAUACAAGGAUCAGUUGAAUUCAAAAAUAAGACUGGUCCUUUGCCAGAACUACUUCCAAUAAAUCGAAAGUCUCAGUGAACCCUUCUUUGCUGAUGUCGUUUCUUUCGAUGAUGAUGCUAACAAUAGUGUAAGGUAGACCGUAGGAAGGGAAGGAGGCCUUCUAAAUUGAAUAUAGUAUUUUGCCAUUUGCAUGACGUUUAUAAAGAGAUCACUGACAGAAAGGGAAUUAGGUCAGUCUACAGAGAUGAUUGUUGGGUGACAGUUGUCCUGGAAUAAUUUACUCCGAAGAUGUAUGAGAAAUGAAACCUCCGUCGUGCUAACCAUGAAAAAUAUUCUCUCGAUGAAUUUCAAGCUACUAUUUUUGGUAUGUUGCAAGCAAGUUCAACAGAAAUUUAUUGACAAGUACAAUAUACAAGUAACGUUUGAUUUUGUGCAGGAACAACUUAGACCUUGUUCAGCAAUAUAGCACACCUCCACAGGGGUCUAAAGAAUUGUACUUCCCGACAAGUUUCUCACAAAAUUUUUGGGGCCAAUUCAGAGCUUGCUUGUGGAAACAAUGCUUAUCCUAUUGGAGAAGCCCUCAAUACAACUUAGUGCGCCUAAUAUUCGUAGCCAUCAUAUCAAUAGCACUCGCAGCAGUUUUCUGGCAACGUGGGAGAACAUUGUAAGUUCCCAAUAACUCUGCACUUGAGAGUCUUUCUGUUGAUAAAUUUGAUGAAAAAAAUAAAGACAGUGGCCGCAGAAAGAAAAAACAAAGUAGAAAUUCAAAUGUUUGGCUAAAGUGCUAUAGCAUCAUGAACAGACAACUCCAAGCCCCGAGGAUAAAUUCUUAGUGCAAGACAUCAUAGGAAGGAUAAAACUCAUUCAGGGAUGAUUAAUAGAGCUUACCUUAAAGCGAUGAGAAGCAUUCUGUGAUGCGACGGAUGCAGGGAAGCCAACAGGAUAAUUGUGUUCGCGUACAUGAAAAUAAUUUUACUCUUUGAUUUUAAAUCUUAGCAUCUUAUGCAUGAAAAAUAGAAAUAAAAGGAAAAACUCAGAUUCCACUUAAUGAAACCCAAUUCCAUAACUCAUCUUAUAUAUAACCAGCAGAAAAUCUACAGCUCAUGUUCGCAUUUUAAUUCCUGUUGCCAUGACUAAUGUUUAUUCUUUCUCUGUGAAGAAACAACUAACAGGAUUUAUUCAACAUGCUUGGAUCAAUGUUCAUUGCCGUGAUCUUUUUGGGAACAAACAACUGUUCAUCAGUUCUACCAUUCAUUGCAAUUGAGCGAGAUGUCCUGUAUCGAGAAACAUUUGCAGGAAUGUACUCUUCAUGGGCCUAUGCCUUUGCACAGGUGCACCCAAGUUUAACAUAAAAAGUUUUCCUCUUUGGAUCGUCCAUUCAAGACCACCGAUCUUGUCCUCAUACCUUAGCUAAUAUUACACUUUUCUUUUCAGAUGGCCAUUGAGAUCCCCUAUGUAUUUGUCCAAGCAGUACUGUUUAUGGGCAUUGCAUAUUCAGGAAUUGGAUUCUACUGGUCUUCCUACAAAUUCUUUUGGUUCUUCUACACAAUGUUCUGCACACUGCUUUACUUUAAUUAUCUAGGGAUGUUUCUUGUGUCAUUGACACCAAAUAUUCAGGUGGCAUCUAUUUUAGCAUCCGCAAUCUAUUCCAUGAUGAAUCUCUUCUCGGGUUUCAUUGUGCCCGGACCAGUAAGUGCUCCAUAAACAGUUCAUAUCACUUUACUUUGUGCUGCGACAUCUCAUUUUGUGAGACCCAAAGUUUCAUAUUCUCAGAAUUGGAUUAGGAGACUACAUCACAUGUAAAAGACUUAAGAAUUAUAAUGAUGUUAAGAGGAUACAAAAAGGAAAAUCUUUGAUCUCUUCUGUGCAAUAUCCAAGAGAGAAAGUAAGUUGUCAAAUGAAACAGUUUCUGGAGAAGAUGAGCGAGAUCUAAGAAUUAAUGAGCAAAAAGAAACAAAUCUAUUUCUUCAUUCAAGCUUCAUUGCAUUACAAACUAUUAAUCUAUGUCAUUCUUGUUACUGUCCUGCAGCAAAUUCCAAAGUGGUGGAUUUGGUUCUAUCACAUCUGCCCAACAUCCUGGUCUCUGAAAGGAUUCUUUAUUUCACAAUAUGGGAACAUAGACAAGGAGAUUAGAGUGUUUGGAGCAUCAAUAUCGAUUGGAACCUUUAUAGAUGAUUACUUUGGUUUCCAUAAAAGCCAGCUGCCUCUUGUGGCUGUCUUCCUCAUUCUUUACCCUCUCAUCAUUGGUUCCCUAUUCUCAGUUUGUAUAGGGCGGGUCAAUUUCCACAGUUAUGUAUACUGCUAAUUCAGAGGAAUGCAUGGUUAUUCCAGAACAGGUUACUACAACAAUGAAGACUGGCAUCAGAGGUUACGAAUGGGGGUCUCUAAAAGGCUUGCAAAUAAGGUGUGCCUGCAGCUGGACUUUUCCCAAGGUCUGAUGCAUCUCUUCCUUCCAAGAAUCCUCACUGAUGACUUCUCUGCUUAUUAUGUGUGUAUCAGAAGAAAAAAUUGUAGUGAACCUUAAACCUUAAGUUUAAAAUCGAGUAUAGUUGCACUUUGCAUAGCCCAGAUCAUUUUUCUUGAUUUUAGAGAGAAAAAAGAGAAAACUUGAUUUGUAUCAGUACAGCUGCAAGUGAAUGGGACGAAUUCUGCAACCUGACACGGCAUGGGUCAGAAAGAAAAGUAAGAGCUUGUCCAAUUUGUAUCUGUCCAGGGAGGGAUACAUAUACACAUACAUGCAUACAUCUAUAUGUAUAUGCAUUCACACAUAGACAGAUAUCUAUCUAUCUAUCUAUUUAUUUAUCUAUUGGCAUAUAUAUAGAUAAAUAUCGAGAGAGAGAGAGAGAGAGAGAGAGAGAGAGAGAGUAUAUUCAGAUAUAUAAGAAGAAAACCAACUGAACAACUAGCAAGAAAAAAAUAAUUUCUGUUAAACAUACUUUUAUUAGGCCUUUCUAUGUCACGGUCCAAUAGUGAACUGCCAUCUAGCGGUAAUAGGCCAACCAUUUGUGGCCCAUUAUGCUAUCUCUAGGGUUAGGAUCUAAACCCUAGCUCUUUCCAUUACCCCAAGUAAUGAAAUACUUUUCCACUCUACAUGAUAUCAGAGCAGUCUUAGGCUUUUAAACCCUUCUUUAGUGCUGUCAAAGGGUGAUGUCAUCAUCGCUGACAUUCUCCACCACUAUCUGCUGGAGCUCAUGACAUCGUGCCUUUUCUUAUGCAACCACUACUUUUGCCAAUGACCUCUUCUGACCUCUGCCAGAGUUAUCGGCAUCAUGUUCUUUUCCGACAAGGUCUUCUACCUUCGCUCCUGUCACCAAUGUCCUCUCUUGUCAUCCACCAACACUAUUGUCAUCAUUGCCCCUUUUUUAUGAGGUCCUCUACCUCUUUGAGUAUUUAUUCAGUAGGGUUUUCUAUCUCAACUGUGCUCAUUUCCAAAGAGAUCUUCCACUGAGUAGCUUUAAGACAAAGCUCUUUACCUUGGGUGUUUUCCUUUUCGGUGAGGUCUUGUACCUCUGUCAAGUAUUCUCUCAACAAAGAUUUCCACCUCUAUCAUACAAAGUCUUUUAGCCUAUGCCUGGUAUCUAUCUGGCAAAGGUCCUCCAUUAGUUCUCUGCAAGUCUCUUUGGCAUCUUUGGCUUCUCUUAGCCAAUAGCCAACAGUCAAUAGGCAACAUACUAACUCUCAAGAGUACCCUUGUCAAUAUAUACACUACUCUGAGUAAAAUGUCUAAUUAUUUAAUCCAAUAUAAAUCAAUUUUAAAUUAUUCACUCAGUAGGCCACAAAAUUGGUUAAAAACUAUCCUUGUAGUCAUUAAAAGUAAUGAGAUCAGUAGAAACAACUGCUUCACAGUGCAUCUUCAGCAGAAGAGAACUGAAUAGGAGAUUAAAGAUAUGAAGUAGCCUUACUCAUAGGGUCGUUUCAAACUUCAAGCAGACCACUCAUAGACAAGAGAAAUAACCCUUUAGGAAAAACAAAAUGACCACUUAUAGACAAGAGAAAUAACCCUCAAGGAAAAAUAAAAUAAAAUAUUUUUACUGUCAGGAGCAGAACUUUCUUUUGCUAAGAAAUUCAACAUGGGCUCAUCAUUUACCCAUUUUAUUUAGAUUAAUCUAUUUAUAUUGAAGGCUAAAUUACCUACAGCCUUUAUUAGAAAAUUAAGAAAGAUUUAAGAGGAUGCCAUGCACCAAAUAUUCAUAACGGGAGAUAUUCGGUGAGUCAAGAUGGUGUAAAGAAGUAAAAAAGAAAAGUGUUCCAUUGACUGAACCCCUGAAGAAAUUCUGAAGAACUGAUUUAAUGCCACAUCGAUUUUCAAUCAAAUGAAAAGAAUCUCACUUGGAAUAGGUACAAGAAUUGAACCUGCCAUGUCAAUUUAGUUCCUUAUCACAUUAAACCUCAAAACUUUCUUCUACCGAUGAACCUUAAUGUUUCAUGACGCAAAUUUUUUUACCAACAAUUAUAAAUAUCAUCUCUCCUGAUAGCUUUACUCUACAGUCUUUGUUAAUCUUGUAUGUUCAGUAACUACUAUUCUAUAAUGUAUCAUAACCAUUAACAACUUCACCACUUCAUCUCAAAUAACCUGAAAUCCUCUGAGAAUCAUACGAUAUUUGGGAGGAUACUGCACAAACUUCAUUUAAAACGAGUAAUUAACGGUAAAACUUAAUGCUCUGGUAUCAGGAAGGGGACGAGAGAGGGGGAAGAGAGAGGGGGGAAGAGAGAGAGAGAGAGAGAGAGAGAGAGAGAGAGAGAGAGAGAGAGUACGUANNNNNNNNNNNNNNNNNNNNNNNNNNNNNNNNNNNNNNNNNNNNNNNNNNNNNNNNNNNNNNNNNNNNNNNNNNNNNNNNNNNNNNNNNNNNNNNNNNNNNNNNNNNNNNNNNNNNNNNNNNNNNNNNNNNNNNNNNNNNNNNNNNNNNNNNNNNNNNNNNNNNNNNNNNNNNNNNNNNNNNNNNNNNNNNNNNNNNNNNNNNNNNNNNNNNNNNNNNNNNNNNNNNNNNNNNNNNNNNNNNNNNNNNNNNNNNNNNNNNNNNNNNNNNNNNNNNNNNNNNNNNNNNNNNNNNNNNNNNNNNNNNNNNNNNNNNNNNNNNNNNNNNNNNNNNNNNNNNNNNNNNNNNNNNNNNNNNNNNNNNNNNNNNNNNNNNNNNNNNNNNNNNNNNNNNNNNNNNNNNNNNNNNNNNNNNNNNNNNNNNNNNNNNNNNNNNNNNNNNNNNNNNNNNNNNNNNNNNNNNNNNNNNNNNNNNNNNNNNNNNNNNNNNNNNNNNNNNNNNNNNNNNNNNNNNNNNNNNNNNNNNNNNNNNNNNNNNNNNNNNNNNNNNNNNNNNNNNNNNNNNNNNNNNNNNNNNNNNNNNNNNNNNNNAGAGAGAGAGAGAGAGAAGCGUUACAGGAGAAGAAAAACCUUUCAGCAAGUAAAAUAAUUCGCACACGACUAAGAACAAGAAGGGAAGAAUAAUGCACUCAGCAUCAAACAUCCACACAUAUUGGCGACCAAAAUAGAAGAGGAUUCUCGACAACCGCAGACCUCCUCCAAGGGCCACACCUCGAACGAGGAUUCACCAAGGAAGAGAUCUGUCACUUUCAAAUUGCAAACUCAGGUGGAGAUCAUGACGCUCGGCCACCGGGAGCCACGGCCGACGGGGGCGCCGGCCGUUCGCCUCGGGCGAUCUUCGUGGACGAUGGGGAAGCGCGGGCACUCCAACUGAACCGUUUUUAAAGGAAGAAGCCCAAAAUUUCACAGUAACGGAUGCGUUAAAGGUAUAUUCACUGUUUACAAAAGGUUGGUUAUCGGUGAACCAGGUCUAGCUUCCGAGUUCUCACCUCUAUGCUGCCGUCGGUCCUCUGAAGCUCGAAGAAGCCUCCCCAGAGGGCGAUGGGGCCUGCUCCGGCGUCGUACCUUCAGGCGGUGGCCCGAGACAUCUCUUGCUGUCCAGCUGCGCCGUCGCGUCAGUCGCGUCGCCCACAAGCGGAGGGAAGAGGACCAAUUUUCCAAGUGGAUGCCCCUGAAAGAAUCCUCGACGUUGAUGGGGUUGCCAGGAAUCUCACAAUCGAUUCUUUGGGCUGGAAAUGGUUGUCGGCCUCGACUGGGCAGUCGUAACGCC
rnacentral:lncRNA from 1 species